CCGCCGCCGCCGCCUUUGCCACUGCGAGAACUGUAGCGGUGCGACCCGGGAUUCCCUCCUCUCGGCGCCCCACCCUCGACUCCUGUUCCGCUGAGCGCGCCCUCCCCGGCGGGCGGAGACUGCAGCGCCGGGGGCUGAGGAAAGGUGGGUGGCGAAGCGCCGCCGGGCGCUUGGUGGCCGCUGCCGCCGCCACUGCAGCUGUGCACGCCCGCCUCUCGGAGGAAACUUGAAGCCAGCAGUACAAGCAGGGCUGGAGGCCGAGCGGAGCCAUCCGACCUUGGGACUAGGGAAACGUGGACUUGGUGGGCUAUUCUGCGCUGAAGAGGCAGCAACGAGGGCUCGGUGGUAUUGGUGUUGGUCCUAGUGGAAUUGUCAAGAGGAUGCUUUUGAAGUGGCCCAGCAUCUUGGAAGUUCACCAUGCUUGCUUUGCAAGAGAUUCCUGACGCUGCAGUGAAAGAGGUCCAGUCAUUCCAGAGAGAACUUCAGUUUCAGACAAGUCAUCAAAUCCAGAAAGCAAGGAAAAAUACCCUGAAAGACGACUGGCAAAUCUCGGUGAAAGAGUAGACGCACUUCAUGGAUUGGAGUGAAUCUUAGAGCACCUGGUACCUUGCACAGGACCUGAUGCCUGGAGGUACAGCAGCCAUCUUGUGACCAUAAGGAGGAAAUCAACGCAUUAAGAAGGGAAAAGCUAAGAAGAUACAGAGAGCAGGGACCACUGACAACAUGAUCAAGCCACUCUACCAGGCCUUAACUUCCUAUUCCCUGACUUCUUAUUGAAAGAGACAAUAAAACUUCUCAUUUGUUUUAACCCAUAGAAGUAAGGCAUUCUGUUACUUAUGGGUGAACACAAUUCUUAACUGAUGCCAUGGUUUAAUGGGAGUAGGGAUCCUGGUAUGACAGGAAAUUGAG
rnacentral:lncRNA from 10 species